rnacentral:rRNA from 1 species
CCUACGGGUGGCAGCAGUGAGGAAUAUUGGUCAAUGGGCGGAAGCCUGAACCAGCCAAGUAGCGUGCAGGAUGACGGCCCUACGGGUUGUAAACUGCUUUUAUACGGGAAUAACGCGCCUUACGUGUAGGGCUUUGCAUGUACCGUAUGAAUAAGGCCCGGCUAAUUCCGUGCCAGCAGCCGCGGUAAUACGGAAGGUCCGGGCGUUAACCGGAUUUAUUGGGGUUAAAGGGAGCGUAGGCCGCAUGUCAAGCGUGCUGUGAAAUGUCCGGGCUCAACCCGGGCCUUGCAGCGCGAACUGGCGUGCUUGAGUCCGCGGAAAGCAGGCGGAAUUCGUGGUGUAGCGGUGAAAUGCUUAGAUAUGACGAAGAACCCCGAUUGCGAAGGCAGCUUGCUGCAGCGGAACUGACGCUGAUGCUCGAAAGCGCGGGGAUCGAACAGGAUUAGAUACCCGGGUAGUC